rnacentral:rRNA from 1 species
AUUGACUUCUUCGGAAUGAUUUUGAUUAAGUUUAGUGGCGGACGGGUGAGUAACGCGUGAGUAACCUGCCUCUGAGAGGGGAAUAACAUUCUGAAAAGAAUGCUAAUACCGCAUAACAUAUAUUUAUCGCAUGGUAGAUAUAUCAAAGAUUUAUCGCUUAGAGAUGGACUCGCGUCCGAUUAGUUAGUUGGUGAGGUAACGGCUCACCAAGACCGCGAUCGGUAGCCGGACUGAGAGGUUGAACGGCCACAUUGGGACUGAGACACGGCCCAGACUCCUACGGGAGGCAGCAGUGGGGGAUAUUGCGCAAUGGGGGAAACCCUGACGCAGCAACGCCGCGUGAAGGAUGAAGGUCUUCGGAUUGUAAACUUCUUUUAUUAAGGACGAAGAAAGUGACGGUACUUAAUGAAUAAGCUCCGGCUAACUACGUGCCAGCAGCCGCGGUAAUACGUAGGGAGCAAGCGUUGUCCGGAUUUACUGGGUGUAAAGGGUGCGUAGGCGGCUUUGCAAGUCAGAUGUGAAAUCUAUGGGCUCAACCCAUAGCCUGCAUUUGAAACUGCAGAGCUUGAGUGAAGUAGAGGCAGGCGGAA